GACGAACGCUGGCGGCGUGCUUAACACAUGCAAGUCGAACGAAGUGGCGAACGGGUGAGUAACGCGUAAUCAACCUGCUCUUCAGAGGGGGACAACAGUUGGAAACGACUGCUAAUACCGCAUACUGAAGGUGGGGAUUGGGUCGGAUUGGCUAGUUGGAGGGGGAACGGCCCACCAAGGCGAUGAUCAGUAGCCGGUCUGGGAGGAUGAACGACCACAAUGGGACUUGGGAACGGCCCAGACUCCUACGGGAGGCAGCAGUGGGGAAUUGUCCGCAAUGGACGAAAGUCUGAAGGAGCAACGCCGCGUGAGUGAUGACGGCCUUCGGGUUGGAAAGCUCUGUUAAUCGGGACGCGGUACCGGAAUAGAAAGCCACGGCUAACUACGUGCCAGCAGCCGCGGUAAUUC
rnacentral:rRNA from 1 species